rnacentral:misc_RNA from 1 species
UGUGUGUGUGUGUGUGUGUGAACAGUGUUGAAUUGGGAGGUCUGGGAUGAAAAGCAUGGUAAUUUUUCCUUUCCGGCUGAAAUAGCCAGAAUGCUUCUUGUCAGAAAGGGCAAGAGUGCAUAAUUAUCUCAUUCUCUCUUUCUGGGUAUUUUUGUUGAAACAUAACUUAAUGGGCAAUUUGUUUCCUUUAAUAUAUCAAAAAUGUUAAAAGCUAAAGAAGUCACUAAAGGAAAUACAACAUUCCUUGGUUAAACAAUGAAGUCUUUGAUUUCUCAAAACCAAAACGUUAACUAAGUGUGCGAUAAUGGGCAUUGUUGAUGUUUCUCUAUUUUUGUUUUCUUUUAGGAAAAGGCUUUUCUAAGCCCUUAAACUUUUGCUCAAAGUUCAAUUGAGCCCUUGUUAAAUUUUGUUUAACUCUCAAAAUUCAGCAAUCAGACCAAUAAGUGAUCGCAUGACUUCAUGUGUGUGACUGUUUGUUAAAUUUCAGAGUCUCAAGUGUUAAUGGGUCCCAUAAAAUAAAAUGAAUAUUAUUAAAAAAAUUUAUAAAUAUUUAAACAAAUGUAAUAAAAAAUUAAAACAAAUUAAAAAAAAUUCCAAAACUCAUCACACAAAAUUUGAAACCUGGAACUCAAAUUCAAAAUUUUCUCUUCUUCUCAUUUUCCUUCUUCUACUCUCUUCCUUACUCUCGCUUUCCCUUUAUUCCACUUCUUCCCUCUUCAUGCCUUUCCAUUAAAGAAUGAUGAUGAAUGCAAUUGACUCUUGUCUACUGUGUGUGUGUGUAAGAG